UGGGGGUCUGGGUGGGCCCUGGUACACCCUAAGCCAGGCCCAUCGAGGACCCACCCGGCCACCUGUUCAGCCGCCGAGCGUCGAAGCCCGAAGGCCAUUUCAACUUCUCCAGCUCUUCGAUCCUUACGGCUGUUCGCCUGUGCCUGUUCCUGCCUUCCUGGCGCCCUGGCGGCUGGAUACCUGGCGACUGCGAGAAGAGUUCCUGGCGGCUGGCUGGCUUCCUGGCGCUACUGGCCGGAGUAGUGGAGUGGCGAAUGCGCGCUGCCAGCUGCCGUCGCUGCGCGGCUGAAUGCCCAGACCGCCUGCUGCCUGCUACUGCGCUGGAUCUCCCUGGCGUCUGGCGAAUUGCUGCCUACUGCUGGUGAUUGUGACUAAAAUAUGAAGAAACAGGGAGAUAUUGCCUCUCUUUUUCGUAAUCAUGUUGCAAAAAACAGAAGUUUAUUGCUUAUUCAUUAUCUCCGGAUGUUACUCAAGCGUCGACACCUAAAGAACAAGAGAAAGAAAGGAUAAAUAAAGAAAUUGUGAAUCCAAUGUCAUCUGCACCGCCACCGCCAACACUUUAUGAUGUCAGUCGUCUUCCACAUGAUCCAGGUGAAAGACAACCUAUUGCAAGUUACCAUGCUUUAUAAAUCCUAAUGCAGCAAUUGAUAACAAAAUUGAGAAGUGGAGUGAUGAUGAUCACAAUCUUUAUAAGAUAAGGUUGACAUAUUCACUUCGAUGUUUGAAGUUUCUUUUGCAUCAAGGAUUGUCAUUCCGUGGAUAUGAUGAAAGUGAAGAGUCUAGCAGCAGAGGAAACUUUAUUAAAAUUUUGAAAUUUCUUGCUGUAAAUAGUGAAGAGGUCAACAAGUAUGUUCUUAACAACGCUCCAAAUAAUUGCACUUUGACUAGCCCAAAGAUACAAAAGCAGAUUAUUCAGUGUUGCGCUAUAGAAACUAGAAAGAAAAUAAUUGAAGAGCUUGGGGAAGAGCCAUUUGCAAUUUUAGCGGAUGAGUUUAGUGACAUGUCACACAAAGAACAACUAGCUCUUUGCUUGCGUUUUGUUGAUGCAUUGGGAAGGCCAUGUGAGCACUUCAUUGGAGUUGUUCAUGUAGAUGAUACUAGCUCUUUAUCACUUAAGGAUGCAAUUGAAGCUUGUUAAACAAAGAGACAUAAGGUGUUUGAUAUGGUUUAUUUGCUUCUCAAAUUGAUAUUGCUUUUGCCGAUGGCGACAACAAGUGUUGAAAGGGCAUUUUCUACAAUGAGUUUGGUGAAGACUAAAUUGAGAAACAAGAUGUGUGAUAGUCUUUUGGAUGAUUGUCUUGUUACAUACAUCGAGAGGGAUAUUUUCUUCGAAGUGAAUGAAGAAGAUAUAAUUGAAACUUUUAUGGCGUUGAGGAAGCGCAGACCAGAUAAGUAGUAUUAUUGCAAUUUUUAUGUUUAAUGUAUGCAAUUUUCAUGUUUAUUUGUUGAGUGUCAAACUUUAUAUCUAUAUAUCAAAUUGUUUACCAAAUUUACUAUGAAAUUAUAUGUACAUUA